GACGAACGCUGGCGGCGUGCUUAACACAUGCAAGUCGAACGGAAAGGCCCUGCUUUUGUGGGGUGCUCGAGUGGCGAACGGGUGAGUAACACGUGAGUAACCUGCCCUUGACUUUGGGAUAACUUCAGGAAACUGGGGCUAAUACCGGAUAGGAGCUCCUGCUGCAUGGUGGGGGUUGGAAAGUUUCGGCGGUUGGGGAUGGACUCGCGGCUUAUCAGCUUGUUGGUGGGGUAGUGGCUUACCAAGGCUUUGACGGGUAGCCGGCCUGAGAGGGUGACCGGCCAAAUUGGGACUGAGGUACGGCCAAGACUCCUACGGGAAGCAGCAGUGGGGAAUAUUGCACAAUGGGCGGAAGCCUGAUGCAGCAACGCCGCGUGCGGGAUGACGGCCUUCGGGUUGUAAACCGCUUUCGCCUGUGACGAAGCGUGAGUGACGGUAAUGGGUAAAGAAGCACCGGCUAACUACGUG
rnacentral:rRNA from 1 species